rnacentral:rRNA from 1 species
ACGAACGCUGGCGGCGUGGAUAAGACAUGCAAGUCGAACGGGAGAAUUGCUAGCUUGCUAAUAAUUCUCUAGUGGCGCACGGGUGAGUAACACGUGAGUAACCUGCCUCUUAGUGGGGGAUAGCCCUGGGAAACCGGGAUUAAUACCGCAUACGAUUGAAAGAUCAAAGCAGCAAUGCGCUAGGAGAUGGGCUCGCGGCCUAUUAGUUAGUUGGUGAGGUAACGGCUCACCAAGGCGAUGACGGGUAGCCGGUCUGAGAGGAUGUCCGGCCACACUGGAACUGAGACACGGUCCAGACACCUACGGGUGGCAGCAGUCGAGAAUCAUUCACAAUGGGGGCAACCCUGAUGGUGCGACGCCGCGUGGGGGAAUGAAGGUCUUCGGAUUGUAAACCCCUGUCAUGUGGGAGCAAAUUAAAAAGAUAGUACCACAAGAGGAAGAGACGGCUAACUCUGUGCCAGCAGCCGCGGUAAUACAGAGGUCUCAAGCGUUGUUCGGAAUCACUGGGCGUAAAGCGUGCGUAGGCUGUUUCGUAAGUCGUGUGUGAAAGGCAGGGGCUCAACCCCUGGAUUGCACAUGAUACUGCGAGACUAGAGUAAUGGAGGGGGAACCGGAAUUCUCGGUGUAGCAGUGAAAUGCGUAGAUAUCGAGAGGAACACUCGUGGCGAAGGCGGGUUCCUGGACAUUAACUGACGCUGAGGCACGAAGGCCAGGGGAGCGAAAGGGAUUAGAUACCCCUGUAGUCCUGGCAGUAAACGGUGCACGCUUGGUGUGCGGGGAAUCGACCCCCUGCGUGCCGGAGCUAACGCGUUAAGCGUGCCGCCUGGGGAGUACGGUCGCAAGAUUAAAACUCAAAGAAAUUGACGGGGACCCGCACAAGCGGUGGAGUAUGUGGCUUAAUUCGAUGCAACGCGAAGAACCUUACCUGGGCUUGACAUGUAUUGAACAACAUGUGAAAGCAUGCGACUCUUCGGAGGCGUUACACAGGUGCUGCAUGGCCGUCGUCAGCUCGUGUCGUGAGAUGUUUGGUUAAGUCCAGCAACGAGCGCAACCCCUGUUGCCAGUUACCAGCACGUCAAGGUGGGGACUCUGGCGAGACUGCCCAGAUCAACUGGGAGGAAGGUGGGGACGACGUCAGGUCAGUAUGGCCCUUAUGCCCAGGGCUGCACACGUACUACAAUGCCCAGUACAGAGGGGGCCGAAGCCGCGAGGCGGAGGAAAUCCUGAAAACUGGGCCCAGUUCGGACUGUAGGCUGCAACCCGCCUACACGAAGCCGGAAUCGCUAGUAAUGGCGCAUCAGCUACGGCGCCGUGAAUACGUUCCCGGGUCUUGUACACACCGCCCGUCACAUCAUGGAAGCCGGUCGCACCCGAAGUAUCUGAAGCCAACCGCAAGGAGGCAGGGUCCUAAGGUGAGACUGGUAACUGGGAUG